ACACACACACACACACACACACACACACACACUCACAGAGUCACGUGAUUUCCAGUAACUGCAGAGCGGAGGAGGAGCAGCCAGUGACAAGGAGCAGACGGAGGAGACGUGAAGUCUGAGGCUGCAGUGGUCACCAACCAGUGGAGAGUCUUCACUGUGGAUCCCAGUAAAGCUCUGGAUUCACUGGCUGAGGUGUGAGGAACAUCGACCUGCAGAGCCAGAUAAACAUUGAAACUGGUGAGAAAGAUCAUUUCACUGUGUUCUGCUGUAAACUGAGCGCAGGACGAGAAGGAAACAGACCAGACCUGGAACAUCUAGAAGAGCAGCGUGGCCUGAACCACAACUGAGCCGCA